AUUGAACGCUGGCGGCAGGCCUAACACAUGCAAGUCGAGCGGUUGAGGGGAGCUUGCUCCCUGAUUCAGCGGCGGACGGGUGAGUAAUGCCUAGGAAUCUGCCUAUUAGUGGGGGACAACGUUUCGAAAGGAACGCUAAUACCGCAUACGUCCUACGGGAGAAAGCAGGGGACCUUCGGGCCUUGCGCUAAUAGAUGAGCCUAGGUCGGAUUAGCUAGUUGGUGAGGUAAUGGCUCACCGAGGCGACGAUCCGUAACUGGUCUGAGAGGAUGAUCAGUCACACUGGAACUGAGACACGGUCCAGACUCCUACGGGAGGCAGCAGUGGGGAAUAUUGGACAAUGGGCGAAAGCCUGAUCCAGCCAUGCCGCGUGUGUGAAGAAGGUCUUCGGAUUGUAAAGCACUUUAAGUUGGGAGGAAGGGUUGUAGAUUAAUACUCUGCAAUUUUGACGUUACCGACAGAAUAAGCACCGGCUAACUCUGUGCCAGCCGCCGCGGUAAGAC
rnacentral:rRNA from 1 species